AACGAACGCUGGCGGCAUGCCUAACACAUGCAAGUCGAACGAGACCUUCGGGUCUAGUGGCGCACGGGUGCGUAACGCGUGGGAAUCUGCCCUUCGGUUCGGAAUAACUCAGGGAAACUUGAGCUAAUACCGGAUGAUGUCUUCGGACCAAAGAUUUAUCGCCGAGGGAUGAGCCCGCGUAGGAUUAGGUAGUUGGUGGGGUAAUGGCCCACCAAGCCGACGAUCCUUAGCUGGGGUGAGAGGAUGAUCAGCCACACUGGGACUGAGACACGGCCCAGACGCCUACGGGAGGCAGCAGUGGGGAAUAUUGGACAAUGGGCGAAAGCCUGAUCCAGCAAUGCCGCGUGAGUGAUGAAGGCCUUAGGGUUGUAAAGCUCUUUUACCAGGGAUGAUAAUGACAGUACCUGGAGAAUAAGCUCCGGCUAACUCCGUGCCAGCCGCCGCAGUAA
rnacentral:rRNA from 1 species